rnacentral:rRNA from 1 species
CCCAGCUCGUCAUGCUAGAGCACUUUUUCAAUGUGCUCCCAACGAGAAGGCGACAACGCAUUCGUAUGUCAAUCCAUAUCAACUUUCGAUGCCAUUGACUGCACCUACCAUGGUGACCACAGGUAACGGGGAAUCAGGGUUCAAUUCUGUACACGGACACUGACAAAUGGCUACCACAUGCAAGGAAGGCAGCAGGCGCGCAAAUGACCCACUCCCGACGCGGGAAGGUAGUGACG